UUCUACAGCCAUACCAUCCUGAAUGUGCCCGAACUUGUCUGAUCUCAGAAGCUAAGCAGAGUUGGGCCUGGUUAGUACUUGGAUGGGGAAUGUAAAAA
rnacentral:rRNA from 1 species